rnacentral:tRNA from 1 species
GCCGAGGUGGCGGAAUAGGUAUACGCAAUAGGUUGAGGGCCUAUGCUCCUUUGGGGGCGUGAGGGUUCAAAUCCCUCUCUCGGCA